GGCUUCGUAGCUCAGUUGAUAGAGUAUUUGCCGCGUAUAGGCAUGCUCAUAAUGUCGCUGGUUCGAUUUCAGCCGAAGUCC